GAGGCUUCUUGGUGGAGAGCUGCACAAAAGACGGUGCUCCGGGCGUGGCGAGUCCUCCACACGAUUUUCUCUCCCAAAGAUAACCUUUGAGUCACCACAUGAAAUUUAAUUAAAACCUACCCAGCCGCACACAUUUAAAAAAAUCCAAUUACCCACACGUCCUUGCAGGACGUUUGGCAGGACCAAAAGAAGGCUUCCAAGGUGAAGGCUUGAUUCUCACAUCAGUCCCACCCUGCUCGCCCUAAAGGGGAUAACUGCAGGCUCCUCACCCACCUGAAAGAUGUCCCCUGUUUUCCCAGACCCCUAGUUCCUAGACUAGUUGCAGGAAGCUGAGUUCAAGACUUUGGGUCAGUGCUAGAGAUUUUCUUUUCUUUUUUAAUUCUCCAUCCUUUCUUUUAAAUGUCGUGCUUAAGAACUAGGGCAUUGAAAAGUCGUUUGCUCUCUCAUUCUCUCCCAAGCCUCCGUUUGGAUGUUCAUCCGGAUUCCCUCUCUCCCUCUUUGGAGGAGGGAAGGGCAAGUGUGAUGGAAAAAUACCUAAUGAUCACUUGGAGAUCUUUGUAAAUGGAGUUGAAGCAGGCGACCUGAAAUGAACCCUCAGUCUAUGCAUUAAGCUUAGUUCAUAAGUAAAAUGCUUCCUAGAGACCGUGAUAAUAACAAAGCAUAUGCCUAUUUUGGUCUUUAAGUGAUUAUUGCAUUAUAAGAUGCCAUCACAGUCUCUUCUAAACAUUCGCUAUAGGAGUUGUACUGUGGGUGUUUGUCCUUCCACAGUGGAGAAAACCUGAGAGCUUUUGUAAAGAUGACUUUUGAAAUAAAGCCAAUGAGGAAGAAAAAGGUUAAUAGCAAGUUUCAAGUCAAUUUAACCCCAAGGUCCUCCCACCCCAACUAAAAGGUGUUUGGAAUCUUAUUUUUAUUUAGUUCUCAAGUGAGAUUCUCUGGGGUGGGGGUGGAGUCCAGAGAGGAAGUCUUGGGGCCUGAGGAGUAGAGGCUACAGGGGCAAGGAGAGAAUCUAUUUUGUUUGAUCUCCUCCUAAGUCUCAUUUGCCUUCAUCUUAGGAGAAGAUAAUGACAAAUUAAAAAAAAAUCUGUAAUAGACUUGGAGUGGCCCAAAGUCCCAAGCUAAAAAAGGUUUUGGGAAGGGAAGAGUGACUUCUGCCACCCCAGACCAAACUGGCUGCCUUAGAGAGUAUUUUCCCAACCCAUCCAUAGCAGAGGGUACCACUACCAGCGUGGAAGAAGAGUCAUCUGGCUUAACUCAACCAGUCCGCUGGGGGCCAGAGAAAGGGAAAGCUAUUAUAGACAUUGACAUUGCACCAGAUUUUAAAACCUUGGUCUUGGGGGGUGGGGACAGAGUGGCUGAAUGAGUGAGAACUAAGGAUGAGGAGUAUUUUGGUUUUAGGGACAACUACAGCCUCUGAAAGCCAGGUCCUCAAGCUUCCAGCCUCAGCCUCCAGCAGUGCAAUCCAGCCUAUCUCCCAGGGCUCUGCUGUGGAUUAAUUGCUCCAUCCAGAGAGGUGGGAAAGUCUGGAACUCUGGGGCCUCCAAGUUUUAGAAGUGUCCCUGUAGCUGACAUUUGGGGCGACAGAGUGGACGAAGAAGUCUCAGUUGACUCAAGCCCUGCAGAGUGCAAGCAUUUAGGGCGACAUCAGAGAAGGAAACCGUUGACUGAGGCCUGCUUUCUAGGGUUUAGAUGCCCAGUGACACACUCUCUGCCCUUCAGGUGCCAGUGCCAGCAUAGUUGUUUAGUGUUCGGGCCUCCGAAGGAUUCCCUCCACGGGGUCACACGGUCUUGCUCUCAGCGCUGGGCACGGGAGCUGGCAAAAAUAUUGGAAUGAUGGAAAAAUCAAAGCAAAGGCGGGUCAGCUUGAAUCGCAUUGGAAUGGAGACUUUUGGGGGUUGGGGGUUGGGUGGGGGAACAGAGAAAAGUAGAACUGGAGAGGGUAAACUGAAUCAAAUCCUGCUCUGUCGUUUUUCUCCCAAGUAAUGACCUGCGCAAAAUUCAAUAUGACCGAGCGAACUGCGUGAGCAUAUUAUACUAACUGCCUGCUCGUGGGGGAGGCCCGGAGAGGGGUGAACCGCAGGUCACGGCGUCUAAAAAUUAUUAAAAUGUUCGAGAACCUCGUGACGCGCCUGCUGUUUAACAAAGACUGCCAAAGUAUGAGAUUAAUACGAAAACU
rnacentral:lncRNA from 1 species